UGAAUGCCGAGAGCUCGGAACGAUCGUUGCGUGACAAGACGAUUCGCGUCGCGUUCACGCGUUUCUCAAGCUAGAAUUUUCGAACGUUUUACGACGUGGUCAUAAACGUACACGUGUUGCGUGUUCGUGGCGAGUGUCGCGAUGCUUCGCGAGUCUGUAUCGAGUAGCGAUAGAAGAUUGAUGUGAUCCGAUGCGAUCGGAACGGCAGCGCGUACUCUGACUGAACGCAGUCCGUAAACCACUUCACGUUAUUAUGUUCGGGACGAGGAGCGAGAUAGAGCUAUCCGCAGCGAUAGAGCGACGAACAUCAACUCGAGACUAUCUUCCGGCAAGUGCGAGGAAAGGGCCUCCACUUCGUGUGCACUUCGCCGACCUGUAACAAGAAGGACCUUCUACUUUGCUGAUAUCGAUGCACUUCGUGGAUUUAUGAACGAUCUACAAAGUAAUUGUGCAGCGAAGCGGUAACGCGAUGGUUGAUGAAAGCUGGGACUUUUCGAAGAGACAAAGUUGAAGCGCGAAUUUGACAAGAAAGGAAACGCUCUGCAUUAUCCGUCGAUCGUUAACGCUAUGACGAUCGUUUAGUUUCACGCCAACAAUGGAUAAGAUAUGAUUUUUGUUAUUUGUAAGAAAAUUUAACGACUUUGAAUAUUUCUCGCUAGUCAUCAUAACGUUAAUAACCAUUACGAUUAUUGUAUCAGAAGACUCGAGAAAUGUUAGAGAAACGAUGAAGAAUCUCGAUCGAUUUCAAUAGCAUGCAAAGUUUCGCAAGAGUUAUUAUGAAAAUUUGAUAAAACUGAACAAGCUUUCUGUUGGAAGAUGCGAGAACGACUAACGAAAGAAGAAUAAAUUGAAUGAUAAAAGAGUUUACUGGAAGCAUCCAUGAAUCAAUUAUACGACCGAGGCAUUUGAUACGAUUCUAUAACGUUUCGCUUUUGGACAUUCGUUUCCCAGCUAUUACGGCUGGCCGAACGUUGCGGUUCAAUCGUAAAUGGCGAUUGCUUGCAAAUUUAAUUGAAGUUUUCAUCGAGCGCAGCUUUUCAAAUUAUUGCGUUUCUAUAGUGUCAUAUAUGGAGGGAAAGAGAUGAAGAAUAAAAAAAGGAAAGGAAAAAAGGAUCUCCGCUGUAAAUACGAUAGCUUGGGUCUUUUCGUCGCGAUUCGAUUCUCGAGGAAUCGUAUUCAACGAGACGAAUAUAAUGAACCGUGACAACCCGAAAUAACAUUGCGUAAAAAGCAAUCCUCCGAGACGGUCGAUCUGUUUCUUUUAUCCCGUCUGCUCUGUUCAGCAGCAACGCGAACGAACAGAAACUUGUGACGUACGAGUCGCGAUACAAAUUCGCGUCUCAUGAAAUUUUCAUUACCGAUUGAUUUCUCGCUUGGUAGCCGAUUUACAAAUCGAGUAUUAAAAUGCGCUCUGGAA